CCGGAACUGUGUUGUAGACACGUCGUCGCAAAACAUCUUCUGAAAUAUUGAAUUUUGGAAUGGUGUUUCUUCUAAGUAAAGAAAUAUACAUAUAGUAUGGCAACACUCCAUUUCAUGAAUAGUUGCAAAGUGGCCAUGAAUACAAAGUUCACCAGGACGGAACCCAAACCUUGUUACAUGCUGGAGCUGACCCGAGUCUAUUGAACCAGUGCCUCAUGUUAAAUCCACCGAUCCACCAAUAAGUGCCAAGUCGAUGUACAGUUAUGGUCAGAGCGGAACACGAUGUGUAUCUUAUCUUAUCUUAUCUUAUUAAAUUGCCGGAACACAAGAUGAUAUCAAUAGCCGGAUUUAUGUGGUCUUAAUUCUACAAAUCGCGAGGGGAUAUUUAUUAGGAUUUAUAUCUCUGGAUCGCCGGAAUUGAAUCAAAUUUGCCAAUUAUGUUUCUUAUACAACGAACAAGUAAUUCUCGAACGAUAUUACAUACUUAAAUAUAAUUAGGUCUAAGCAUUAUAUAUAUAUAUAUAUAUAUAUAU